CAGCGGUCCGUGUGUUCCUGCCCGACGGCUCCGCGGUGCCGCUGGCGCUGCCCCCCCCGGUGCUGGGGCUGACGGCGGCCGUAUUGCUGCGCUGCCUGUGGGACACGGCCGGGCUGGGCCCCGAGGGCUGCGCCGCCAUGGCCCUAUGGCUGGUGUCGGGGCUGCUGGGUGAGUGGGGGGCUGCGGGGGGGGGGGGGGCGGGAACGGGAGUUUGGGGCUGGAAAUGGGGGUUUGGGGUCAGCAACGGGGGAUGUGGGGUUUGGAAAUGGGGGUUUGGGGUUGGAAAUGGGGGCUUGGUGUUGGAAAUGGGGGUUUGGGGUUGGAAAUGGGGGUUUGAGAUCAGCGAAAGGGGAUGUGGGGUUUGGAAAUGGGGGUUUGGGGUUGGAAAUGGAGGUUUGGGGUUAGAAAUGGGGGUUUGGGGUUGGAAAUGGGGGUUUGAGGUCAGCGACGGGGGAUGGGGGGUUUGGAAAUGGGGGUUUGGGGCUGGAAAUGGGGGCUUGGUGUUGGAAAUGGGGGUUUGGGGUUGGAAAUGGGGGUUUGAGGUCAGCGACGGGGGAUGGGGGGUUUGGGAAUGGGGGUUUGGGGCUGGAAAUGGGGGUUUGGGGUUAGAAAUGGGGGUUUGGGGUUGGAAAUGGGAGGCUGGGGUUGGAAAUGGGGGUUUGGGGUCAGUGAUGGGGGAUGUGGGGUUUGGAAAUGGGGAGUUUGGGGCUGGAAAUGGGGGUUUGGGGUUGGAUAUGGGGGUUUGAGGUCAGCGAUGGGGGAUGGGGGGUUUGGAAAUGGGGGUUUGGGGUCAGUGAAAGGGGAUGUGGGGUUUGGAAAUGGGGGUUUGGGGUUGGAAAUGGGGGUUUGAGAUCAGUGAUGGGGGAUGUGGGGUUUGGAAAUGGGGUUUGGGGUCAGCACUGGGGGGGGGGGUUGGGGUUGGGAAUGGGCUGUGCUGCUGUGGCCCUAUGGCCGGUGUCGGGGCUGCUGGGUGAAUACUGGGGACAGGGUUUGGGGUCUGGGGUCAGAAUCCCCGGGGUUUGGGUCGGGUGGGUUUGGGUUUGGGCCCUGGGGCCCCCAGGGUUUGGGUUUGGGGUCAGUGGGGUCAGAAUGCCCAGGUUUGGUGCUGGGGGGGCUUUGGGGUCUGCGGCUUUGGGUUCCGGGAUCCUGGGUUCUGAGGGAGGGGGGGGAUUGGGGGGUAUUUUGGGGCCGGGACCCCCAGGAUUUGGGGGUGCCGACCCCCCCGGCAGCGCGGUGCCCCCCCAGAGGUGCAGCUGAAGCCGCGGCAGCAGCCGUUCCGCCUGCGGCGGCAGUGGGCAGAGCUGGUGCUGCGCCUCAGCGAUGCCCCCCCGGAGCUGUGGCCAGGGGUAAGGCUUGGGGGGUGCGGGGGGGGGGGGGGCUGGCUGUGGGGCACACCCCAUGGGGUCUGGUUCCUUGGGGGGGGGGGGGGGCGGACGUACAUUUUGGGAUCCCCUCUUUGGGUCUGCGGGGGCUCACGUUGUUCCCCCCCCCCCAGAUGAGCCGUGCCUGCACCUGCGCCGCAACGUCUUCUUCCCGAAGCACAAGGAGCUGGAGCUGCAGGACGAGGCGGUGCUGCGCCUGUUGGUGGCGGAGGCGCGGGGCCACCUGCGGGGGGGUCGUUGGCCGCUGCCCCCCCAGGAGGCUGUGGAGUUGGGGGGGCUGCAGUGCCGUCUGCACCUCGGCCCCUUUCAGCCCGGGCAGCACUCGGCCGAGAGCCUGCGGUGAGCACCCCCACGGGGACCCCCCCGUACCACCCACAGCCCCCCUCAACCCCGAGACCCCCCCAGAUCCAUCAAAACCCCCAAAUCCAUCAACACCCCCCUCCCAUAUCCCCCCCCCCCCCCCCCCAAUAUCCCCCGGACCCCCCAAUUUGUGCCCUCUCCCCCCAGGCCGGCGCUGGAGGAGCUGCUGCCCCCCACCCCCCGGGGACGGUUCUGGGGGUCCCUACGGCGCCGCCCCCCCGGCCCCCCCCCCGAGGAACUGCUCAACGCCUUCAGCCGCACCCCCGGACCUGAGACCCCCCCCGCGGAGCUGCUGCGGAGCUUCCUGCAGGGCUGCCACCGCCUGCACGGCUACGGGUGGGCGCUGUGUCUUUUGCUGUCCCCCCCCACUGUCCCUUUAUGCCCCCACGACCCCUCACAUCCCCCCCCCCCCCCCAGGUGUGCUUUUUUCCCAGGGGCCAUCGACCGCCCCCCCGGGGGGCUGCUGGGCCGGGGGGGGCUGCGCCCCGUCAACGUGGCCGUUGGGCUGGAGGGGGUCACCAUCAUCGACGCCCGGGAGAAGGUGUGGGGAGCUGUGGGGCAGCUGGGGGGGCCGUGGGGUGGGUUACGAGCUCCUGUGGGGCAGGUUGGGGGGGCUGUGGGGCAGUCAGUGCCGUGGGGUGGGUCUCUAA
rnacentral:lncRNA from 7 species